rnacentral:rRNA from 1 species
UGGGGAAUUUUGCACAAUGGGGGAAACCCUGAUGCAGCGACGCCGCGUGAUUUAGAAGGCCUUCGGGUUGUAAAAAUCUUUUCUAUGGGAAGAAAAUGACAGUACCAUAGGAAUAAGGACCGGCUAAUUACGUGCCAGCAGCCGCGGUAAUACGUAAGGUCCGAGCGUUGUCCGGAAUCAUUGGGCGUAAAGGGUACGUAGGCGGGUAAGCAAGUUAGAAGUGAAAUCCUAUAGCUCAACUAUAGUAAGCUUUUAAAACUGCUCAUCUUGAGGUAUGGAAGGGAAAGUGGAAUUCCUAGUGUAGCGGUGAAAUGCGCAGAUAUUAGGAGGAAUACCGGUGGCGAAGGCGACUUUCUGGCCAUAACCUGACGCUGUGGUACGAAAGCGUGGGUAGCAAACAGG